UUUAUUAUUUUAAUUCCUUUUCAUUUUGAAAAUUCAUAUCUCUCUCAUUAUUGGUCCAAAAAUUAUGGGACCAAUUUCAUUCUUCUCCUUUUAAUUUCUACUUUCUAAAAAUGAUUUUUAAUAUUUUUUAUUUUAUCAUUUGAUAUUUUUUAGUAAUUUUCUCUUUUCUAGUUUUUUUUAAUUCAUUUAAAAUAGUUUUUGAUAU
rnacentral:lncRNA from 1 species